GAAAAUCAAAUGAACAAAAAUGUGUCUUAAGUUAGGAUUCCCGAGCCCUUGCCCUGUGCCUGGCCCUGUACCCUGUGUCUUCAGUGCUGCGGAGAAUGCAGCACAGACCCUGCCCUCAAGGCUUACAGUCUAAGGCCUGAAUGACUAUGCCCAGCUCCCUCCCUUAAAAUGAAGGCUGCUAUUCCCAGAAGUCAGGGGCAGCCUGGAACCCAAGAGCCUUGUAUCCCUGUCCAGGGCAUUACAUUUCAUGAAGGCAAGAACAGACCAAAUCCUGUGGACUUUUGGCAGUCUCUGGGGCUUUCAUGUGAACCUGUUUCAACUCCUGAGGCCAAAUAUGCUCUAUGUGUCACCCGGAGAGUCCCAGCUAAGAGGCCAAAUGAGUAAAAUGCAAGACAUGAAGCUGGGAGGGGUCGGAAUGCUGAUCUGACCUCAGGCUGCUGGAGAGAAGUUAACUAGCUUUUUAAAAUUUUUAUUUAUUUUUUUAAGAGAUAGUGUCUUGCUAUAUUGCCCAAGCUGAACUUGACUUCCUGGGCUCAAGUGAGCCUCCUGCCUCAGCCUUCUGAGAAGCUGGGACUACAGAAAUGUGCCACUGCACUUGGCUGGAACCAGCUUUUGAGGCAUUCUUUGCCUCUGAAGAACCUAGGAUGAAGUUCCUCUUACCUGAGGAAGCGGAGAAGCUUCCAGAGGCUUUGACU
rnacentral:lncRNA from 1 species